GGUCGUUUGGCCGAGGGGCUAGGCACAGGUCUGCAAAACCUGCUACUCCGGUUCAAAUCCGGAAGCGACCUCCA
rnacentral:tRNA from 1 species